rnacentral:rRNA from 1 species
CUACGGGAGGCAGCAGUGGGGAAUCUUGCGCAAUGGGCGAAAGCCUGACGCAGCGACGCCGCGUGGGUGAUGAAGGCCUUCGGGUUGUAAAGCCCUGUGGGGAGGGACGAAUAAGCGCCAGCCAAUACCUGGCGUGAUGACGGUACCUCCUUAGCAAGCACCGGCUAACUCUGUGCCAGCAGCCGCGGUAAGACAGAGGGUGCAAACGUUGUUCGGAAUUACUGGGCGUAAAGCGCGUGUAGGCGGUUGUGUAAGUCGGAUGUGAAAGCCCUCGGCUCAACCGGGGAAGUGCACCCGAAACUGCGCGACUUGAGUCUCGGAGAGGAUAGUGGAAUUCUCGGUGUAGAGGUGAAAUUCGUAGAUAUCGAGAGGAACACCGGUGGCGAAGGCGGCUAUCUGGACGAUGACUGACGCUGAGACGCGAAAGCGUGGGGAGCAAACAGGAUUAGAUACCCGAGUAGUC